GACGGGCCCGCACAAGCAGCGGAGCGUGUGGUUUAAUUCGAUGCUACACGAAGAACCUUACAGGGUUUGACAUGCAAGUGUAGGAACCGAAAGGUGACCGACCCUUCGGGGAGCUUGCACAGGUGCUGCAUGGCUGUCGUCAGCUCGUGUCGUGAGAUGUUCGGUUAAGUCCGCUAACGAGCGCAACCCUCGUCGUAUGUUAUAUGUGUCAUACGGGACUGCCGGUAAAAAGCCGGAGGAAGGUGAGGAUGAUGUCAAGUCAGCAUGACCUUUAUAUCCAGGGCUACACACACGCUACAAUGGUCUGUACAAUGGGUAGCCAAGCCGCGAGGCGGAGCCAAUCCUGAAAGCAGGCCUCAGUUCAGAUUGCAGUCUGCAACUCGACUGCAUGAAGCCGGAGUUGCUAGUAACCGCAGGUCAGCAAUACUGCGGUGAAUACGUUCCCGGGUCUU
rnacentral:rRNA from 1 species